rnacentral:misc_RNA from 1 species
GAGAGAGAGAGAGAGAGAGAGGGAGAGAGCCCUUGCUUCUUGGAUUUGUAAGAGAAGAAGAAGAGAGAUGGGAAGAGGAAAGUUCAAGGGCAAGCCUACCGGCCAUCGCCACUUCUCCACGCCUGAAGAACUCAUUGCAGGUACCUCUACUCGUCCUCGUACUUUUAAACAGGAACAGGAAGAAGCUAGAGCGGAGUUAGAAGACGAGUCUGAAGAGGAAGUUGAAGAAGAAUCAGAGAAGCGGAAAGGCGCCCAGGGACUAAUUGAGAUUGAGAACCCUAAUUUAGUAAAACCAAAGAAUUUGAAGGCUAGAGAUGUUGAUAUUGGGAAAACAACCGAACUCUCAAGGCGUGAAAGAGAGGAGAUUGAAAAACAAAAAGCUCAUGAACAAUAUAUGAGGCUGCAGGAACAAGGAAAAACUGAACAGGCUAAGAAAGAUUUAGAGCGCUUGGCCCUAAUAAGGCAACAGAGGGCAGAAGCUGCUAGGAAACGAGAAGAAGAGAAGGCUGCCAAAGAACAGAAAAAGGCUGAAGCUCGCAAGUAAGCAGUUAAAA